rnacentral:other from 1 species
GCGAGGCUGCGCGGUUCGUUAGGACAAUUGCAUCCCCGGGGCCUUAUCGAUCCUAAAGGGAGCUGUCCCUGUUUCGGCCCGUGGGCUGGAGCAAAACGGCGCCCACCUACUUUGUAGGUCCCGGGAUCGAACCGUCCGACGGCCGAUGUGGCUUCGCC